rnacentral:rRNA from 1 species
GACGAACGCUGGCGGCGUGCUUAAUACAUGCAAGUCGAACGGAAAGGCGCUGCGCUUGCUUCGUGCUUGUUUGGCGAACGCGUGAGAAACACGCGUGUAUCCUCUCCUUGACUGAGGGGGAACUUUACGAAACUCGGUCUCAUACCCCAUAGGAUCUCCUGCUCCACGGUGUGCAAAGGAAAAUUUCGGCGGUUCGGGCUGGACUCGCGGGUUAUCCGCUAGUUGGUCGGGUAGUGGCUUACCAGGGUUUUGACGGCUAGCCGGCCUGAGAGGGUGACCGGGCACCUUAGGCCUGAGAUACGGACCAGACGCCUACGGGAGGCAGUAGUCGGGAGUCUUGCGCAAUGAGCGGGAGCCAGAUGCAGCAACGCCGCGUGCGGGAUGCCGGCUUUCGGGUUGUGAACAGAUGUGGCCUGUGACGAGGCGAGCGUGACGGUAAUGGGUAAAGAAGCACCGGCUAACUACGUG